UUCUGGCUUCUGAGAUUCAGAAUAUUUUUUUUCUUGUUUUCCUCCUCCAAAAACUAGGUGCGUCUUGUGGUCUGGUGCGUCUUAUAGAGCGAAGAAUAUGGUACACAACCGUGAUCCACCAUGGAUUCUGCCUGGAAGAAUCCUUGGCAUCAAGUGUCAGAAUGGGGAGAUGUAGAAGAGAAAUUGGGGGAGUAGAGUUGAGCUCACAGCAAGAAACUCCAGCUUCAACCACUGAGUUUAAGAACUGCCUGUAAAAGGUAAAGGUAAAGGUACCCCUGCCCGUACGGGCCAGUCUUGACAGACUCUAGGGUUGUGUGCUCAUCUCACUCUAUAGGCCGGGAGCCAGCGCUGUCCGCAGACACUUCCGGGUCACGUGGCCAGCGUGACAAGCUGCAUCUGGCGAGCCAGCGCAGCACACGGAACGCCGUUUACCUUCCCGCUGGAGUGGUACCUAUUUAUCUACUUGCACUUUGACGUGCUUUCGAACUGCUAGGUUGGCAGGCACUGGGACCGAACGACGGGAGCUCACCCCGCCACGGGGAUUCGAACCGCCGACCAUGCGAUCGGCCAGUCCUAGGCGCUGAGGUUUUACCCACAGCGCCACCCGCGUCCCCUGCCUGUAGACGGUCUUUUUAUUGUGCGUUCAUGACGUUUUGUUGGUGUCUAGGCAGUUACAUGCGAUCCCACUUUCAGUUCUGCUCGCGACAGCAGUUUUUUUCAGGAUGGAGACGCAUGCUUUGUUUCCAAUCCAUGCAUGUUCCCAGAGCUUCCAGCUGAAACCCUGUAACUUUUCAUGCGGCGAGUUCUCCAUGUGUGUUGCAUUGGUUGUGCCGUAGCCUAAAAAUGCCCCUCUGGGCAGCGAGACCAUUCGGAUAGCAUUGCAGAACAACUAUUCAAGUGGAAUGCUUUGUGUGUAUGGUCCAGGGGGAAGUUCACCACUAAUGCACUAUUCUUGGGUCAAUGGCAUGUUGCAGAAUUUGCCCGCAAAAACAACACCAGUGUAGAGGGGCUUCAAGAAUCGUCCAAAAGCAGCAGCCUAAAGAUUGAGAGGUACAAGCAAGGCAUGAUGGCCACAUCCCUCAGACUUUAUCCUCAGUCCCUGGUACUCAGAGCAGCCAUGUCUAAUACCAUUAUUGGACCUAGUCUCCCAGCGUAAAGGUAAAGGAACCCCUGAAAAUUAGGUCCAGUCGUGACCGACUCUGGGGUUGCGGCGCUCAUCUCGCUCUAUAGGCUGAGGGAGCCAGCAUUUGUCUGCAGACAGAUUCCGAGUCAUGUGGCCAGCAUGACUAAGCCGCUUCUGGCGGACCAGAGCAGCAAACGGAAACGCCGUUUACCUUCCCGCCAGAGUGGUACCUAUUUAUCUAUAUGCACUUUGAUGUGCUUUCGAACUGCUAGGUUAGCAGGAGCAGGGACCGAGCAACGGAAGCUCACCCCGUCAUGGGGAUUCGAACCGCCAACCUUCUGAUCGGCAAGCCCUAGGCUC